UCCCAUUCCCAAUGCCAUUCCCAAUGUCACUGUCAUUGCCAUUCCAAAUCACAAUCCCAUUCCCAAUCCCACUGACGUUCCCAAUGCCAAUUCCCAGUGCCAUUGUCACUGCCAUUCCCAAUCCCAUUCCCAAUGUCACCGACAUUCCGAUUGUCAUUCCAGAUCACAUUCCCAAUGUCACUGCCAUUCCGAUUGUCAUUCCCAAUGCCAUUCCCAAUGCCACUGCCAUUCCGAUUGUCAUUCCCGAUCAUUCCCAUUCCCGUUCCAAGUCACAUUGUCAUUGCCAUUGUCAUUCCAAAUCACAUUCCCAAUGUCACUGCCAUUCCGAUUGUCAUUCCAGAUCACAUUCCCAAUGUCACAAACAUUCCAAUUGUCAUUCCCAAACACAUUCCCAUGGCCAUUCCCAAUGUCAAUGACAUUCCGAUUGUCAUUCCAGAUCACAUUCCCAAUGCCAUUCCCAAUCCAAAUUCCCAAUGCCAAUUCCCAUUGUCACUGCCAUUGUCAUUCCAAAUCCUAUUCCCAAUCACAUUCCCAAUCCCAAUCACAUUCCCAAUGUCACUGACAUUCCCAAUGCCAAUUCCCAGUGUCACUGCCAUUGCCAUUCCAAAUCCCAUUCCCAAUCACAUUCCCAAUGUCACCGACAUUCCGAUUGUCAUUCCAGAUCACAUUCCCAAUCACAUUCCCAACAUCAAUGACAUUCCGAUUGUCACUCCCGAUCACAUUCCCAUUCCCAUUCCAAGUCACAUUGUCACUGCCAUUGUCAUUCCAAAUCACAUUCCCAAUGCCAUUCCCAAUCACAUUCCCAAUGUCAUUCCCAAUCCCAUUCCAAGUCACAUUGCCAUUGUCAUUCCAAGUCAUACUGUCAUUGCCAUUCUCAUUCCCAAUCACAUUCCCAAUGUCACUGCCAUUCCGAUUGUCAUUCCCGAUCACAUUCCCAAUGCCAUUCCCAAUCCAAAUUCCCAAUGCCAAUUCCCAUUGUCACUGCCAUUGCCAUUCCAAAUCCCAUUCCCAAUCACAUUCCCAAUCCCAAUCACAUUCCCAAUGUCACUGACAUUCCCAAUGCCAAUUCCCAGUGUCACUGUCAUUGCCAUUCCAAAUCCCAUUCCCAAUCACAUUCCCAAUGUCACUGACAUUCCCAAUCCCAAUUCCCAGUGCCAUUGUCACUGCCAUUCCCAAUCCCAUUCCCAAUCACAUUCCCAAUGU
rnacentral:lncRNA from 1 species